rnacentral:rRNA from 1 species
UUGACCUCGGAUCAGGUAGGAAUACCCGCUGAACUUAAGCAUAUCAAUAAGCGGAGGAAAAGAAACCAACAGGGAUUGCCCUAGUAACGGCGAGUGAAGCGGCAACAGCUCAAAUUUGAAAUCUGGCCUCGGCCCGAGUUGUAAUUUGCAGAGGAUGUUUCUGGCGAGGUGCCUUCCGAGUUCCCUGGAACGGGACGCCACAGAGGGUGAGAGCCCCGUAUGGUUGGACACCAAGCCUGUGUGAAACUCCUUCGACGAGUCGAGUAGUUUGGGAAUGCUGCUCAAAAUGGGAGGUAAAUCUCUUCUAAAGCUAAAUACCGGCCAGAGACCGAUAGCGCACAAGUAGAGUGAUCGAAAGAUGAAAAGCACCUUGAAAAGGGGGUUAAACAGUACGUGAAAUUGUUGAAAGGGAAGCGCUUGUGACCAGACUUGUGCCGGGCGGUUCAUCCGGGGUUCUCCCCGGUGCACUCCGCCCGGUUCAGGCCAGCAUCGGUUCUCGUUGGGGGAUAAGAACGGCAGGAACGUGGCCCUCCUUCGGGUGGGUGUUAUAGCCUGCCGUACGAUACCCUGAUGGGGACCGAGGUUCGCGCUCCGCAAGGAUGCUGGCGUAAUGGUCAUCAGCGACCCGUCUUGAAACACGGACCAAGGAGUCGUCCAUUAGAGCGAGCGUUUGGGUGUAAAACCCGCACGCGUAAUGAAAGUGAAAUUAGGUGAGAGCUUCGGCGCAUCAUCGACCGAUCCUGAUGUUCUCGGAUGGAUUUGAGUAAGAGUUUUAACGGACGGACCCGAAAGACAGUGAACUAUGCUUGUAUAGGGUGAAGCCAGAGGAAACUCUGGUGGAGGCUCGCAGCGGUUCUGACGUGCAAAUCGAUCGUCAAAUAUGAGCAUGGGGGCGAAAGACUAAUCGAACUGUCUAGUAGCUGGUUACCGCCG